AAAACCAGUAAAUACCUGUUCCCUGAAACAGUAAUAAAGGUGGGACAUAGGUUACUACCAGUACAAAUAAGUUUCACCUGGGGUACGGCGCAAGGUUGAAAUCAAAGGAAUUACCGGAGCCGCACAAGCAAGGGUAGUGGUUUAAUCGAGCACGCGAAGACCUUACCAAGUCUUGCAUCUACUGAUAUUUGGUAAUGCCGAAUAGCUUUUCGGAGCAGUAGAGACAGGUGGUGCAUGGUGUUGUCAGCUUGUGUCGUGAGAUGUUGGGUUAAGUCCCGCAACGAGCGCAACCCUUACCGAUAGUAGCCAGCAGUAAGAUGGGAACUCUAUUGGGACUGCCAGGGAUAACCUGGAGGAAGGCGGGGAUGACGUCAAAUCAUCAUGCCCCUAUGACUUGGGCUACACACGUGCUACAAUGGCGUGAACAAAGAGACGCGAACCUGUGAAGGUGGGCAAAUCUCAUUUGCACGUCCCAGUUCGGAUUGUAGUCUGCAACCCGACUACAUGAAGCUGGAAUCGCUAGUAAUCGCAGAUCAGAAUGCUGCGGUGAAUACGUUCCCGGGUCUUGUACACACCGCCCGUCACACCAUGGGAGUCGAUAAUGCCCGAAGCCGGUGACCUAACCUCGUGAAGGAGCCGUCGAAGGCAGGAUUGAUGACUGGGGUGAAGUCGUAACAAGGUAGCCGUAUCGGAAGGUGCGGCUGGAUCAC
rnacentral:rRNA from 1 species